rnacentral:sRNA from 1 species
UAAAAAAAUUAAAAUUUUUUUUAGUGUUUAAAAUUGUAUAAUUGUAUUUUGAUUGUUAAUUUUAGGAUUUCAUCCAUAGUAUAUCAUCCCGUAUCAAUAUCGAUCCAAACUCAUCCCACCAUAUAACCUCGUCCCGUGAAAUUAAAACUUCAUAAAAUUUUAAAAUCAUUAAUAUUUUAAAAAAAUUUAUAGACUUUAACUUUUAAAAA